UACGUAGGGCGCAAGCGUUGUCCGGAAUUAUUGGGCGUAAAGAGCUCGUAGGCGGCCAGUUGCGUCUGCUGUGAAAUCCCGGGGCUCAACCCCGGGCGUGCAGUGGAUACGGGCUGGCUAGAGGCAGGCAGGGGAGAACGGAAUUCCCGGUGUAGCGGUGAAAUGCGUAGAGAUCGGAAAGAACACCAACGGCGAAAGCACUCUGCUGGGCCGACACUGACACUGAGAGACGAAAGCUAGGGGAGCGAAUGGG
rnacentral:rRNA from 1 species